UACGUAGGGAGCAAGCGUUGUUCGGAUUUACUGGGCGUAAAGGGCGCGUAGGCGGCAUGACAAGUCACUUGUGAAAUCUCUGGGCUUAACCCAGAACGGCCAAGUGAUACUGUCGCGCUAGAGUGCGGAAGGGGCAAUCGGAAUUCUUGGUGUAGCGGUGAAAUGCGUAGAUAUCAAGAGGAACACCUGCGGCGAAGGCGGGUUGCUGGGCCGACACUGACGCUGAGGCGCGAAAGCCAGGGGAGCGAACGGG
rnacentral:rRNA from 1 species